UAUCAAUAAGCGGAGGAAAAGAAACCAACAGGGAUUGCCUCAGUAACGGCGAGUGAAGCGGCAACAGCUCAAAUUUGAAAUCUGGCCCUAGGCCCGAGUUGUAAUUUGCAGAGGAUGCUUUUGGUGCGGUGCCUUCCAAGUUCCCUAGAACGGGACGCCAGAGAGGGUGAGAGCCCCGUACAGUUGGACACCAAGCCUUUGUAAAGCUCCUUCGACGAGUCGAGUAGUUUGGGAAUGCUGCUCAAAAUGGGAGGUAUAUUUCUUCUAAAGCUAAAUACCGGCCAGAGACCGAUAGCGCACAAGUAGAGUGAUCGAAAGAUGAAAAGCACUUUGAAAAGAGGGUUAAACAGCACGUGAAAUUGUUAAAAGGGAAGCGCUUGUGACCAGACUUGCGUCCGGUGAAUCACCCAGCUCUCGCGGCUGGGGCACUUCGCCGGCUCAGGCCAGCAUCAGCUCGCUGUCGGGGACAAAAGCUUCAGGAACGUAGCUCUCUUCGGGGAGUGUUAUAGCCUGUUGCACAAUACCCUUCGGCGGGCUGAGGUACGCGCUCCGCAAGGAUGCUGGCAUAAUGGUCAUCAGCGACCCGUCUUGAAACACGGACCAAGGAGUCAACCUUAUGUGCGAGUGUUCGGGUGUCAAACCCCUACGCGUAAUGAAAGUGAACGCAGGUGAGAGCUUCGGCGCAUCAUCGACCGAUCCUGAUGUUCUCGGAUGGAUUUGAGUAAGAGCAUAUAGGGUUGGACCCGAAAGAAGGUGAACUAUGCGUGUAUAGGGUGAAGCCAGAGGAAACUCUGGUGGAGGCUCGCAGCGGUUCUGACGUGCAAAUCGAUCGUCAAAUAUGCGCAUGGGGGCGAAAGACUAAUCGAACCUUCUAGUAGCUGGUUUCCGCCGAAGUUUCCCUCAGGAUAGCAGUGUUGAACUCAGUUUUAUGAGGUAAAGCGAAUGAUUAGGGACUCGGGGGCGCUAUAUUGCCUUCAUCCAUUCUCAAACUUUAAAUAUGUAAGAAGCCCUUGUUGCUUAAUUGAACGUGGGCAUUCGAAUGUAUCAACACUAGUGGGCCAUUUUUGGUAAGCAAGAACUGGCGACGUAGCUCUCUUCGGGGAGUGUUAUAGCCUGUUGCACAAUACCCUUC
rnacentral:rRNA from 1 species